GUGCUCGCUUCAGCAGCAUACAGACUAAAAUUGAAACGCAACAAAGAUGAGCGUGGCCCCUGUGCAAGGAUGACAUGCGUAUUUGGGAAGCAUUCCAUAUUUUU
ensembl:snRNA U6 U6 spliceosomal RNA